UGGUUUAUACACAUAGUAGAAUAUUGUUCA
rnacentral:piRNA from 1 species